GUUUGAUCCUGGCUCAGAACGAACGCUGGCGGCGUGGAUAAGACAUGCAAGUCGAACGGGACUUGCCGAGUAGCAAUACGAGGCAAGUCCAGUGGCGCAAGGGUGCGUAACACGUGGGCAACCUGCCCGAAAGUGGGGGAUAGCUCGCCGAAAGGCGAAUUAAUACCGCAUGUGGCCAGGAAGAUUAAUCUUCCGACGCCAAAGCCGGGGCAACCUGGCGCUUUUGGAUGGGCCCGCGGCCUAUCAGCUUGUUGGUGAGGUAACGGCUCACCAAGGCUAUGACGGGUAGCUGGUCUGAGAGGACGACCAGCCACACUGGAACUGAGACACGGUCCAGACACCUACGGGUGGCAGCAGCCGAGAAUUUUUCUCAAUGGGGGAAACCCUGAAGGAGCGACGCCGCGUGGAGGAUGAAGGUCUUCGGAUCGUAAACUCCUGUCAUGAGGGAACAAACCUGCGCGUUUAACUGAUGCGCAGCUGAUAGUACCUCAAGAGGAAGAGACGGCUAACUCUGUGCCAGCAGCCGCGGUAAUACAGAGGUCUCAAGCGUUGUUCGGAUUCAUUGGGCGUAAAGGGUGCGUAGGCGGCGAAGCAAGUCAGGUGUGAAAUCCCGGGGCUCAACCCCGGAACUGCACUUGAUACUGCUUUGCUUGAGGACUGGAGAGGAGAUCGGAAUUCACGGUGUAGCAGUGAAAUGCGUAGAUAUCGUGAGGAAGGCCAGUGGCGAAGGCGGAUCUCUGGACAGUUCCUGACGCUGAGGCACGAAGGCCAGGGGAGCAAACGGGAUUAGAUACCCCGGUAGUCCUGGCAGUAAACGGUGCACGUUUGGUG
rnacentral:rRNA from 1 species